UACAGAGGGGGCAAGCGUUGUUCGGAAUUACUGGGCGUAAAGGGCGCGUAGGCGGCCUGUUAAGUCGAACGUGAAAUCCCUGGGCUCAACCCAGGAACUGCGUCCGAUACUGGCAGGCUUGAAUUCGGGAGAGGGAUGCGGAAUUCCAGGUGUAGCGGUGAAAUGCGUAGAUAUCAGGAGGAACACCGAUGGCGAAGGCAGGUCUCUGGGCAUUAACUGACGCUGAGGAGCGAAAGCAUGGGGAGCGAACAGG
rnacentral:rRNA from 1 species